UAUUAUACUAAGAGUGAAUAAAUUACGUCGGGGUAGUAUAAAAGUGUUUGAAACCUAAAGAAUUUGGCGGUAUUUUAGUCUUUUUAGAGGAAUCUGUCCUUUAAAUGAUAAUACACGAUUGAUGAUACUUAAUUUUAGCUUGCAUACCGUCGUCAUAAGAUGAACUUUUUAGAGUGUUUUCGGGACACUAAGGGAAAAGUAAGAUGUCAGAUCAAGGUACAGUAUAAUUAAGAAGGAUGAUGGAUUACAAUAAGUUUAUUUAUAUGGAUUAAAGAAAGAAAGGAUUUUUAUGAAGGUGGAUUUAAAAGUAAAUUUAUUGGGAAUGGUAAGUUGAUUUGAGCUCUAAAGUAUGUACAUAUCGCCCGUCACUCUCAUUUUAAGGUGAG
rnacentral:rRNA from 1 species